GACGAACGCUGGCGGCGUGCUUAACACAUGCAAGUCGAACGGCAAGGCCCUGCUUUUGUGGGGUGCUCGAGUGGCGAACGGGUGAGUAACACGUGAGUAACCUGCUCUUGACUUUGGGAUAACUUCAGGAAACUGGAGCUAAUACCGGAUAGGAGCUCCUGCUGCAUGGUGGGGGUUGGAUAGUUUCGGCGGUUGCGGAUGGACGCGCGGGUUAUCAGCUUGUUGGUGGGGGAGUGGCUUACCAAGGCUUUGACGGGUAGCCGGCCUGGGAGGGUGACCGGCCACAUUGGGACUGCGAGACGGCCCAGACUCCUACGGGAGGCAGCAGUGGGGAAUAUGGUACAAUGGGCGGAAGCCGGAGGCAGCAACGCCGCGGGCGGGAUGAAGGCCUGCGGGUUGUAAACCGCAUUCGCCUGUGACGAAGCGUGAGUGACGGUAAUGGGUAAAGAAGCACCGGCUAACUACGUG
rnacentral:rRNA from 1 species